rnacentral:rRNA from 1 species
CCCUUAGACGUUCUGGGCCGCACGCGCGCUACACUGACCAGUGCAACAAGCAUCCGUCCUUGGCCGACAGGCCCGGGCAAUCUUUGAACGCUGGUCGUGAUGGGGAUAGACUUUUGCAAUUUUUGGUCUUCAACGAGGAAUUCCUAGUAAACGCAAGUCAUCAAUUUGCAUUGAUUACGUCCCUGCCCUUUGUACACACCGCCCGUCGCACCUACCGAUUGAAUGGUCCGGUGAAGCCUCCGGAUUGGCGCGCACCUCGGUGCCGCCGAGAAGUUGGCUAAACCUUACCAUUUAGAGGAAGGUGAAGUCGUAACA